rnacentral:lncRNA from 1 species
CCCGCUUCUUUCAUACCCACAGUUGUAAUUGGAGAUGGUAAUUAGAACAGGAUCUUAAAACACAUGUUGCCAGCCAAAUGAAUCAUUAAAAAAAACCCAACACAACCACAAAGAAAAGUCACGACAGUAACAAUCUAGUAGCGACUCAGAUACACAAGGUGUGUUUUGAAGGAAGGAUACAGUACUAUUUGGAAUCUGGAAAUAGGUAU